GGACCUCUGGCGCAACUGGCAGCGCUUUCGACUCCAGCACAGGAUGGCAUCGAAGGGUUAUCUGUUCAAAUCAGGUGGGGUUCA
rnacentral:tRNA from 1 species